GACGAACGCUGGCGGCGUGCUUAACACAUGCGAGUCGAACGGAAAGGCCCUGCUUUUGUGGGGUGCUCGAGUGGCGAACGGGUGAGUAACACGUGAGUAACCUGCCCUUGACUUUGGGAUAACUUCAGGAAACUGGGGCUAAUACCGGAUAGGAGCUCCUGCUGCAUGGUGGGGGUUGGAAAGUUUCGGCGGUUGGGGAUGGACUCGCGGCUUAUCAGCUUGUUGGUGGGGUAGUGGCUUACCAAGGCUUUGACGGGUAGCCGGCCUGAGAGGGUGACCGGCCACAUUGGGACUGAGGUACGGCCCAGACUCCUACGGGAGGCAGCAGUGGGGAAUAUUGCACAAUGGGCGGGAGCCUGAUGCAGCAACGCCGCGUGCGGGAUGACGGCCUUCGGGUUGUAAACCGCUUUCGCCUGUGACGAAGCGUGAGUGACGGUAAUGGGUAAAGAAGCACCGGCUAACUACGUG
rnacentral:rRNA from 1 species